rnacentral:rRNA from 1 species
GACGAACGCUGGCGGCGUGCUUAACACAUGCAAGUCGAACGGGCGUAGCAAUACGUCAGUGGCGGACGGGUGAGUAACACGUGGGAAUAUGCCUUUCGGUUCGGAACAACUCGGGGAAACCCGUGCUAAUUCCGGAUACGCCCUUACGGGGAAGAUUUAUCGCCGAAAGAUUAGCCCGCGUUGGAUUAGCUAGUUGGUGAGGUAAAGGCUCACCAAGGCGACGAUCCAUAGCUGGUUUGAGAGAACGACCAGCCACACUGGGACUGAGACACGGCCCAGACUCCUACGGGAGGCANCAGUGGGGAAUCUUGGACAAUGGGCGCAAGCCUGAUCCAGCCAUGCCGCGUG